rnacentral:RNase_P_RNA from 1 species
CUUGCCCCGAUAGCUAUCGGGGCAAGAGGAAAGUCCGGGCAACGCAGGGCACCACGCCGGCUAACGGCCGGGGCCCCGUCGGGAGACUGACGGGGUACGGAAAGUGCAACAGAAAGCAAACCACCCCUUCCCGAUAGCUAUCGGGAGAGGGCCAGGGUGAAACCGUGGGGUAAGAGCCCACGCCUUCCGGCAGCAAUGUCGGAUGGAGGUAAACCCCGUGGGUUGAAAUACCAAACAGCAGUGCGUUCCCUCCGGGGAUGCGGCCGGCCCGGUCGAACCCCAGCGCUGCGGGUAGGUAGAUCGAGCCGUCGGGCAACCGGCG